GUUUCUCAUUGUUUCUCAUUUGGUUUCAGUGAAAAUAAAGAUUUGGGGUGUGUUUUCAAUGCUGGUGACCCUAAUCAAGCCCCAGACUCGCACAAUGUCGAAUCCAGAACAUGAAACGGACCUAAGCAAAUGCUCAGACCGGGGUCACCAAAAUACGUCAAACGUUCACAAGGGUGUUAAUCUGAGCGGCAUCUCCGAAGAGAUGCCACAGAUUUUUGAAUUCGUAAUGAUCCAACCGCAGGUUCACCUACGGUUA
rnacentral:misc_RNA from 1 species